rnacentral:rRNA from 1 species
GCAGCACGGACUUCGGUCUGGUGGCGAGUGGCGAACGGGUGAGUAAUAUAUCGGAACAUACCCUAGAGUGGGGGAUAACGUAGCGAAAGUUACGCUAAUACCGCAUACGAACUAAGGUUGAAAGUGGGGGAUCGCAAGACCUCAUGCUCAUGGAGUGGCCGAUAUCUGAUUAGCUAGUUGGUGAGGUAAAGGCUCACCAAGGCGACGAUCAGUAGCUGGUUUGAGAGAACGACCAGCCACACUGGAACUGAGACACGGUCCAGACUCCUACGGGAGGCAGCAGUGGGGAAUUUUGGACAAUGGGCGCAAGCCUGAUCCAGCAAUGCCGCGUGAGUGAAGAAGGCCUUCGGGUUGUAAAGCUCUUUUGUCAGGGAAGAAACGGUUGUGGCUAAUAUCCAUGGCUAAUGACGGUACCUGAAGAAUAAGCACCGGCUAACUACGUGCCAGCAGCCGCGGUAAUACGUAGGGUGCAAGCGUUAAUCGGAAUUACUGGGCGUAAAGCGUGCGCAGGCGGUUAUAUAAGUCAGAUGUGAAAUCCCCGGGCUCAACCUGGGAACUGCAUUUGAGACUGUAUGGCUAGAGUGUGUCAGAGGGGGGUAGAAUUCCACGUGUAGCAGUGAAAUGCGUAGAUAUGUGGAGGAAUACCGAUGGCGAAGGCAGCCCCCUGGGAUAACACUGACGCUCAUGCACGAAAGCGUGGGGAGCAAACAGGAUUAGAUACCCUGGUAGUCCACGCCCUNNCNAUGUCUACUAGUUGCCGGGACUUAAUUGUCUUGGUAACGCAGCUAACGCGAUAAGUAGACCGCCUGGGGAGUACGGUCGCAAGACUAAAACUCAAAUGAAUUGACGGGGGCCCGCACAAGCGGNGGAGCAUGUGGUUUAAUUCGAUGCAACGCGAA